ACGUCCUACGGGAGGCACAGGUGGGAAUUAUUGCAACGGAAAUCGGGCGCAAGCCUGAUGCAGCCAUGCCGCGUGUGUGCAAGAAGGCCUUCGGGUUGAUGAAAGCACUUUUCAGUCGGUGAAGGAGUGGUGUUAGUUAAUCGCAGCAUUCAUUUGUCGUUACNCGACAGAAGAAGCACCGGCUAACUCCGUGCCAGCAGCCGCGGUAAUACGGAGGGUGCGAGCGUUAANCGGAAUUACUGGGCGUAAAGCGCAUGCAGGUGGUUUGUUAAGUCAGAUGUGAAAGCCCGGGGCUCAACCUCGGAAUAGCAUUUGAAACUGGCAAGCUAGAGUACUGGUAGAUGGGGGUAGAAUUUCAGGUGUAGCGUGAAAUGCGUAGAGAUCUGAAGGAAUNCCGGUGGCGAACGGGCCCCCUGGACAGAUACUGACACUCAGAAUGCGAAAGCGUGGGGAGCAAACAGGAUUCAGAUACCCUGGUAGGCUCGUGCU
rnacentral:rRNA from 1 species